rfam:Fusobacterium sp. 3_1_5R genomic scaffold supercont1.1, whole genome shotgun sequence.
GGACGAGCCUCUGGAGAGAGCGGUUGCCACCGAAGGAGAUAAAAACUCUCAGGUAAAAGGACAGAGGAAUUAUG